CCUUAUACCAUCGGGGGGCCGGCCAUGGACUGCAGACCCUUUGGGGGAUGCUUCCAUACCCGCCCUGUCUGAACAUACCCAUGAUUUUUGCGUACUCAUUGUUUCCUCGGUGGGCUUGCCUGCCGGUAGGACAUUAUACAACCCUUUGCAAUUGCAGUCAGCGUCAGAAAAAACUUAAUAGUUA
rnacentral:misc_RNA from 1 species